CCUACGGGAGGCAGCAGUGAGGAAUAUUGGUCAAUGGGCGAGAGCCUGAACCAGCCAAGUCGCGUGAGGGAGUACUGCCCUAUGGGUUGUAAACCUCUUUUGUCGGGGAGCAAAAGCCGGACGUGUCCGGCUGUGAGAGUACCCGAAGACAAAGCAUCGGCUAACUCCGUGCCAGCAGCCGCGGUAAUAAGGAGGAUGCGAGCGUUAUCCGGAUUUAUUGGGUUUAAAGGGUGCGCAGGCGGAUUUUUAAGUCAGCGGUAAAAUCGUGGGGCUCAACCCCAUCCAGCCGUUGAAACUGGGGAUCUAGAGUGUGCGAGAGGUAUGCGGAAUGCGUGGUGUAGCGGUGAAAUGCAUAGAUAUCACGCAGAACCCCGAUUGCGAAGGCAGCAUACCGGUGCACAACUGACGCUCAGGCACGAAAGCGUGGGUAUCGAACAGGAUUAGAUACCCGUGUAGUC
rnacentral:rRNA from 1 species